rnacentral:rRNA from 1 species
GGUCGCGACCUACCCUGUGAGGCCCUACCCUGUAGGGCCCUACCUGGUAGUCGCGGGUACGCCUGCCGGUGGCCCAUGAAACUCUGUUUAUUCUUGUUAUUCUGAAUCUAUAACUAAAUAAGUUAAAACUUUCAACAACGGAUCUCUUGGUUCUGGCAUCGAUGAAGAACGCAGCGAAAUGCGAUAAGUAAUGUGAAUUGCAGAAUUCAGUGAAUCAUCGAAUCUUUGAACGCACAUUGCGCCCAUUAGUAUUCUAGUGGGCAUGCCUGUUCGAGCGUCAUUUCAACCCUUAAGCCCCUGUUGCUUAGCGUUGGGAGCCUACAGCCUUCUGUAGCUCCCCAAAGUUAGUGGCGGAGUCGGUUUACACUCUAGACGUAGUAAAUUUUAUCUCGUCUGUAGUUAGGCCGGUCCCUCGCCGUAAAACCCCCUAAUUCUUAAAGGUUGACCUCGGAUCAGGUAGGAAUACCCGCUGAACUUAAGCAUAUCAU